UUUAAUUGACCAUUUCAAACAAAAUGAUGUUACUAUUAGUUUACAUUAAUAUAUUAACAAAUUUAUGUAAACAAAAACUUCAAAUCUUGCUUGGAACCUCUCACCAUCCUAGCUAGCUAUUACUUAUCAUCCAUAGUUGUAUGAAUAAUAAUUUCAACAACCAGGCUCUGCAGAGAUGAUAAAUUAUUUCCCAAUUAAGGUUUAUACAGAAUUGAGAAAUUGAAUAAAAGGGGAAUCGAGUUCUUUUGGGAAGUAGGAUUUCCAUUGUUAUGAAGAUUGCAAAAUCCUUACAUCUUCCUUGGAUGGGCUUAAAUGAUAAUGAAGCCUACAAUAGUUAACGUUGGGUUUGAACUUGGAAUUGCCCCGACAACAAUUUUAUUUGUUCUUCCUUGUUCUCUAGCGAGAACACUCACACUCUCAUAAACUAACAACCUGCAGUGGUUAGUUCAAGCAAGCAAUAAUCUAAAAUGUAAAUACAACAAACACCAUCAAUUUUACCCUAGUCCCCGCCCAAGCAUACAUUCGGGAUAGUUAAUUUUAUUAGAUCAUCUUCCACCAGCCCUUGAGGGAUAAAAUUUAUACUCAAGUAUACAAUUCUCGAAAAGCUCCAUCAAGAAUUUCCGUGCUCAAUUACAGACAUCGGAUGAUCAUCUCAGCAGCUUAAUUCUUCUUUCUUUUCCGCUAAAUGCCUUACGACUUUCUUCUUGUCUUCUUUUUGUACUUUUCUGGGGUCCGACUGUUUGAUGUAGAGCUCCUCUUUGGCGAAGUUGGUGGUUUGAUUUGAUGUAGCUGAGUUCAACUCCAAGAAUCUUACAAUUAAACUCCUGAAAUCAUACCUCAACAUGAUCACGUAUCAAGUAAUUCAAUUAUGACAGUUUCUUUGUUUUGAUUGAGUAAAUACGACCGGAUCUGACCUUAUUCCUAAACAGCAACCUUAGUUGCGGAAAACUUGCAUCAUUGGUAACUUCCUUUUGAAUCGUCCUGCUGAGUAUAUACCAGCAGAAAACAGCUGCAGCAUUCGUCUGAUUUAUAAACCAAACCAAAAGAAGAUAAAUAUGCAGCAAGAAAAGAAUAAGAAUCAUGAGCCUUCAAACAAAUAGAGUAGUUUAACAUGUACUUACAAUUAACUAAAAGAGCAUAGUUGAAAUACACUUCAAGUCACGUGAAGAGAUACAAUGCUAGUGAAAUGGAAUGAAAGCAUAAAAUCAACAAACCUUUCAUCAAACUAAAUAGAUUCACUACUUCAUCCAAGUACUGCUAACCACAUUCAAAACCAAUGGAGGAAGAUUGUUGAAUUGUAAAAUAUUUUCAUAUUUCCUCGACGUUAUUACUCAUAUCCACGAUUUAAUCACCAAGUUCUUGACAUGAUUUCAUGAUGAAUUUUUCUCAGAGAAUCAAGGUCUCUGCUCGUGUUCCACGGGCAUGUGAUAUAAAGCGUAAGGGAAACUUGGGAAGAAAGAUGUAUUGUGUUUGAUGUAAGUUGUAACAAGAUUGACCAAUGCAUCAAUCCAAUAAUUACAGACCUUGACAUUGUAGGAACUAUGAAUGUAUUUGAACUUAAUAAUAAUAGCUAUAGAUUCCUUGAGACACCUGAAGCGGAGAGAGAGAGUAAUACCUUGAGAGACCCUUACAAAUUGAUUGAGAGUUCACCUCUACUGUUGGAAGAUGUCAAUUCUCUGUCAUCUCCUAUCAUCCUGACAAUUUUCUAAAUUAGAUCUUCACUCUCUAAGCCCAUCAACGAUCAACUCCUCUGCAAUUAAAAAAAAAACGAAAGAACAUCAAACAAUCUGGAAAGCAUAUUUAGAGGUGAAGCAAACAAAGACUUGCAACAUCUACUUCGAUCUUUUGAAAACUGUUAUUUUACAACCUCAUUCAAAAUCUCGAAACUAAGUAAUAAUAUAGCACAAAGCAAUCAGAUGAGAGGGGAGAGGAAGAGGAAAUCUAGGCUUCUUUAGCUUCCAUGGAAUAAAGAGUGGUGAGCUUACGUACUCGCUUCUAUAUAUACUACACCUCAACCGCCUCAUUUACAUAAAAAUCGCAAUAUAGAGAUACAACUAAAUACAUCCACACAUCUUGCUAUAAAAUCGGAACUGUGAUUUUCACACCAAUUUGACAUCCUUGUUGUGGAGAAGAGUGUAGAGAACAGUGUGGAGAACACUGACAUCGUUCUAGCAUCCACACUCUAGCUCGCCUGAAGGGAAAUGAAUUUGUUAAAUCUCCAAAAACACUAUACGAUCAUAUAUGUCCGAAGAAGCAGUUGCAGACAAUGCCAAUUGAAGAAUAAACGUUGUUCAUAUCGACAAGAAGUGAAUUUCAUCUAUAGUGGGAGAAAGGAAUGAGCGGUUGGUAAACUACAACAAAAUUAGUUUUUUUACGAAAGAAAAGUGAAUCGCAGAAAUCAAAUCGGUGAAACCCACCCAUCUCAUUUGUGUACUGAUAACGCUAAAUCGAAAUAGACUAUUAUUAUGGGUUUGAGCAAUUAUUUCAAGUCUUUCACUCUUGAAAUCCAGUAGGCGAAUAUAGUAUAAAGCAAAUCAAGGAGAGGGAAAAGGGGGAGGGAACCUUUCAGCUUCCAUAAAAUCAAGAGUGGUGAGUCUAAGUCGCGUCAGAUGCAGAGGAGAAGAAGAGCUGUAAACCAUCAUCACCGCAAGAAAAAAGAAAGCGAAAUUAUGGAAGAAACAUCAACUUCAGAUUUUCACUGUACUUGCAUUGCUGAUGAAGAUUCGUGGUUGGAUUUGGGUGCACUAAUUGACAAAAAAUUGCAAAUAAAAAGAGAUGAGUUUUUCUCUAAAUAAAGCCAGGAACCACAGAAAGAGGGGAAGACGUAGUUUUUGACAAACGACUUUUUCUCCGAACCUCUAGAGAAAAUGCAAGAAGAAAGAGGGGGAAGGAGAGGCCUCCUAAUUUCGACCUAUCGCCCCUCGAUAAAUUGUUGAGAAGACGCUAGAAGAGGGGGAGGGGAGGUAGUGGGUUCUUGGGUGAGAGUAGGGUGGAAAUUGUUCGGU
rnacentral:lncRNA from 1 species